rnacentral:rRNA from 1 species
GACGAAGGGGGCUAGCGUUGUUCGGAAUUACUGGGCGUAAAGCGCGUGUAGGCGGUUGUCCAAGUUGGAUGUGAAAGCCUUGAGCUUAACUCAAGAAAUGCAUUCAGGACUGGAUGACUAGAGGACCGGAGAGGAUAGUGGAAUUCCCAGUGUAGUGGUGAAAUACGUAGAGAUUGGGAAGAACACCAGUGGCGAAGGCGGCUAUCUGGACGGUUCUGGAC